UGAAAUGUACCAGUCUUACGAGCUGUGACUUUUGUUAAGCAACAAGUGACUUCUGCAGGGCGAUCCGGCGACUUUGGGUUUAAGGAGAUAACGACCCCGCGGUCACAGUCAGCGAUCAAGUGGGAGGAUGUGUUCCCGUUGGAAAAUGACGGAAAAGAACGCAGAACUAGACUGUAACGUUGACGAGCCACGGACGGCGUCCAUAACUGACGGGGUCCGUGUUGUUUCGGGAGUUUUACGAGGGCAAAAGCCUGUAAAACAGGGUCAAAUGGUGCCUGUAUAAUUUUAACCUUGUACUUACUGAGUACGAUGCAUUUUUGCAAAGAGAGAAUCGAAUGGCCAAUUACAAAAAGCGGCCACUACUUUUGUCCCGUUUGAUCUGCAUAGCCCUACGCGACCAGACAUUUGGUCAGUGUUUGGACAACAGGAACGAAGAAAAGGUUUUUUUUUUUUUUAAAAGAUACAAGAGGUCGCAGACAUGAUGAGGAUCGUUAACACUGGGCGAACGAAACCCCCCGUCAGUCCCUUUCUCACGGCCACACGAUACUUGAGUUGGACCCGUUGGUGGCCUGCCCAGUUGGAAAGACCACAUCCCAGUCGUGUGAUUGGAAGAGAAAUUUUAUAAAGGAGUCAGACACAGUCUCAAUAUUUAAAUCUAGAUUAAAAACGCACCUCUAUGCUCAGGCUUACAAUCAGUUGUAGUCUGGAGUCAGGGUGCGAGAAGCCUGUAGCCAUAGA